rnacentral:tRNA from 1 species
UCCGAGUUAGCUCAGCGGUAGAGCUAUCGGCUGUUAACCGAUCGGUCGUAGGUUCGAAUCCUACACUCGGAGCCA